UACAUUCAUAAGCGGAGGAAAAGAACCAACAGGGAUUGCCCUAGUAACGGCGAGUGAAGCGGCAACAGCUCAAAUUUGAAAUCUGGCUCUCUUUGGGGGUCCGAGUUGUAAUUUGCAGAGGAUGCUUUGGCAUUGGCGGCGGUCUAAGUUCCUUGGAACAGGACAUCGCAGAGGGUGAGAAUCCCGUACGUGGGCGCCUGCCUUUGCCGUGUAAAGCUCCUUCGACGAGUCGAGUUGUUUGGGAAUGCAGCUCUAAAUGGGAGGUAAAUUUCUUCUAAAGCUAAAUACCGGCCAGAGACCGAUAGCGCACAAGUAGAGUGAUCGAAAGAUGAAAAGUACUUUGGAAAGAGAGUCAAAAAGCACGUGAAAUUGUUGAAAGGGAAGCGCUUGCAGCCAGACUUGCCCGCAGUUGCUCACCUAGGCUUUGGCCUGGGGCACUCUUCUGCGGGCAGGCCAGCAUCAGUUUGGGCGGUUGGAUAAAGGCCUCUGUCACGUAUCUCCCUUCGGGGUGACCUUAUAGGGGAGGCGCAAUGCAACCAGCCCGGACUGAGGUCCGCGCAUCUGCUAGGAUGCUGGCGUAAUGGCUGUAAGCGGCCCGUCUUGAAACACGGACCAAGGAGUCUAACAUCUAUGCGAGUGUUUGGGUGUCAAGCCCGGGCGCGCAAUGAAAGUGAACGGAGGUGGGAACCCUUUGGGUGCACCAUCGACCGAUCCUGAUGUCUUCGGAUGGAUUUGAGUAAGAGCAUAGCUGUUGGGACCCGAAAGAUGGUGAACUAUGCUUGAAUAGGGUGAAGCCAGAGGAAACUCUGGUGGAGGCUCGCAGCGGUUCUGACGUGCAAAUCGAUCGUCAAAUUUGGGCAUAGGGGCGAAAGACUAAUCGAA
rnacentral:rRNA from 1 species